AUACGUAGGGGGCAAGCGUUAUCCGGAUUUACUGGGUGUAAAGGGAGCGUAGACGGAAAGCCAAGUCUGAUGUGAAAGGUGGGGGCUCAACCCCCAAACUGCAUUGGAAACUGGUUUGCUAGAGUGUCGGAGAGGUAAGUGGAAUUCCUAGUGUAGCGGUGAAAUGCUUAGAUAUCAUGAAGAACUCCGAUUGCGAAGGCAGUCCGCUGAGGCACGUCUGACGCUGAUGCUCGAAGGUGCGGGAAUCAAACAGGAUUAGAUGCCCUGGUAGUCCGCACGGUAAACGAUGAUUACCCGCUGUCGGCGGCAGACAGUCGGCGGCCAAGCGAAAGCGAUAAGUAAUCCACCUGGGGAGUACGCCGGCAACGGUGAAACUCAAAUGAAUUGACGGGG
rnacentral:rRNA from 1 species